UCAGCUAUGAAAACACCCUGCACGCAAGC
rnacentral:piRNA from 1 species